GUGAACGCUGGCGGUAGGCCUAACACAUGCCAGUCGAACGGCAGCACAGUAAGAGCUUGCUCUUACGGGUGGCGAGUGGCGGACGGGUGAGGAAUACAUCGGAAUCUACUUUUUCGUGGGGGAUAACGUAGGGAAACUUACGCUAAUACCGCAUACGACCUACGGGUGAAAGCAGGGGAUCUUCGGACCUUGCGCGAUUGAAUGAGCCGAUGUCGGAUUAGCUAGUUGGCGGGGUAAAGGCCCACCAAGGCGACGAUCCGUAGCUGGUCUGAGAGGAUGAUCAGCCACACUGGACCUGAGACACGGGCCAGACUCCUACGGGAGGCAGCAGGGGGGAAUAUUGGACAAUGGGCGCAAGCCUGAUCCAGCCAUACCGCGGGGGUGAAGAAGGCCUUCGGGUUGUAAAGCCCUUUUGUUGGGAAAGAAAAGCAGCAGGUUAAUACCCCGCUGUUCUGACAGUACCCAAAGAAUAAGCACCGGCUAACUUCGU
rnacentral:rRNA from 1 species